GGGGUUGUGGCUCAGGGUAGAGCACUUGCCUAUCAUGCGUGAGGCACUGGGUUUGAUCCCCUGCACCA
rnacentral:tRNA from 1 species